CCCUGCUUCAUUGCUUAUCACUUGGCUUGUUUACAUAAUGCAUUCCUUAGCUCAGGCUAGUGGCUAGUUACAGAAAGGAAAGAAAUUUUGUGUCUGUCUUGCCUGAAAUCCAAAAUGGAGUCCGCUCUUUUCUGAGUGACUCUGGCAAUAUACACUUUUAAUUUCUAUCUUAGCACAAAAUGUCUGCCGAUAGAAAUAUCCUGACAGUGU